CCUACGGGAGGCAGCAGUAGGGAAUCUUUCACAAUGGGCGAAAGCCUGAUGGAGCAACGCCGCGUGCAGGAUGAAGGCCUUCGGGUUGUAAACUGCUUUUAUAAGCGAGAAAUAUGAUGGUAACUUAUGAAUAAGGAUCGGCUAACUACGUGCCAGCAGCCGCGGUCAUACGUAGGAUCCGAGCAUUAUCCGGAGUGACUGGGUGUAAAGAGUUGCGUAGGUGGCAUAAUAAGUAGCUAGGGAAAUCUGGUGGCUCAACCAUUCAGACUAUUAGCUAAACUGUUAAGCGCGAGACCGUUAGGGGGAACCGGAAUUUCUAGUGUAGGAGUGAAAUCCGUAGAUAAUAGAAAGAAAACCAAGAGCGUAGGCAGGUUACUGGGACGGUUCUGACACUAAGGCACGAAAGCGUAGGGAGCAAACGGGAUUAGAUACCCUAGUAGUC
rnacentral:rRNA from 1 species